rnacentral:rRNA from 1 species
UUUUAUGGAGAGUUUGAUCCUGGCUCAGAGUGAACGCUGGCGGCGUGCCUAAUACAUGCAAGUCGAACGAUGAAGCUUCUAGCUUGCUAGAAUGCUGAUUAGUGGCGCACGGGUGAGUAACGCAUAGGUCAUGCGCCUCUUAGUUUGGGAUAGCCAUUGGAAACGAUGAUUAAUACCAGAUACUCCCUACGGGGGAAAGAUUUAUCGCUAAGAGAUCAGCCUAUGUCCUAUCAGCUUGUUGGUAAGGUAAUGGCUUACCAAGGCUAUGACGGGUAUCCGGCCUGAGAGGGUGAACGGACACACUGGAACUGAGACACGGUCCAGACUCCUACGGGAGGCAGCAGUAGGGAAUAUUGCUCAAUGGGGGAAACCCUGAAGCAGCAACGCCGCGUGGAGGAUGAAGGUUUUAGGAUUGUAAACUCCUUUUGUUAGAGAAGAUAAUGACGGUAUCUAACGAAUAAGCACCGGCUAACUCCGUGCCAGCAGCCGCGGUAAUACGGAGGGUGCAAGCGUUACUCGGAAUCACUGGGCGUAAAGAGCGCGUAGGCGGGAUAGUCAGUCAGGUGUGAAAUCCUAUGGCUUAACCAUAGAACUGCAUUUGAAACUACUAUUCUAGAGUGUGGGAGAGGUAGGUGGAAUUCUUGGUGUAGGGGUAAAAUCCGUAGAGAUCAAGAGGAAUACUCAUUGCGAAGGCGACCUGCUGGAACAUUACUGACGCUGAUUGCGCGAAAGCGUGGGGAGCAAACAGGAUUAGAUACCCUGGUAGUCCACGCCCUAAACGAUGGAUGCUAGUUGUUGGAGGGCUUAGUCUCUCCAGUAAUGCAGCUAACGCAUUAAGCAUCCCGCCUGGGGAGUACGGUCGCAAGAUUAAAACUCAAAGGAAUAGACGGGGACCCGCACAAGCGGUGGAGCAUGUGGUUUAAUUCGAAGAUACACGAAGAACCUUACCUAGGCUUGACAUUGAGAGAAUCCGCUAGAAAUAGUGGAGUGUCUAGCUUGCUAGACCUUGAAAACAGGUGCUGCACGGCUGUCGUCAGCUCGUGUCGUGAGAUGUUGGGUUAAGUCCCGCAACGAGCGCAACCCCCUUUCUUAGUUGCUAACAGGUUAUGCUGAGAACUCUAAGGAUACUGCCUCCGUAAGGAGGAGGAAGGUGGGGACGACGUCAAGUCAUCAUGGCCCUUACGCCUAGGGCUACACACGUGCUACAAUGGGGUGCACAAAGAGAAGCAAUACUGCGAAGUGGAGCCAAUCUUCAAAACGCCUCUCAGUUCGGAUUGUAGGCUGCAACUCGCCUGCAUGAAGCUGGAAUCGCUAGUAAUCGCAAAUCAGCCAUGUUGCGGUGAAUACGUUCCCGGGUCUUGUACUCACCGCCCGUCACACCAUGGGAGUUGUGUUUGCCUUAAGUCAGGAUGCUAAAUUAGCUACUGCCCACGGCACACACAGCGACUGGGGUGAAGUCGUAACAAGGUAACCGUAGGUGAACCUGCGGUUGGAUCACCUCCUUUCUAGA